rnacentral:rRNA from 1 species
CACGUAGGGUGCGAGCGUUUGUCCGGAAUUAUUGGGCGUAAAGAGCUCGUAGGCGGUGUGUCGCGUCGGCCGUGAAAACCUGCAGCUUAACUGUGGGCGUGCGGUCGAUACGGGCAUCACUGGAGUUCGGCAGGGGAGACUGGAAUUCCUGGUGUAGCGGUGAAAUGCGCAGAUAUCAGGAGGAACACCGGUGGCGAAGGCGGGGUCUCUGGGCCCGAUACUGACGCUGGAGGAGCGAAAGCGUGGGGGAGCGAACAGG